rnacentral:rRNA from 1 species
UGGGGAAUAUUGCGCAAUGGGCGAAAGCCUGACGCAGCGACGCCGCGUGAGGGAUGAAGGUUUUCGGAUCGUAAACCUCUGUCAGAAGGGAAGAAACCGCACUGUGCUAAUCAGCAGUGCCUUGACGGUACCUUCAAAGGAAGCACCGGCUAACUCCGUGCCAGCAGCCGCGGUAAUACGGAGGGUGCAAGCGUUAAUCGGAAUUACUGGGCGUAAAGCGCACGUAGGCUGCUUUGUAAGUCAGGGGUGAAAUCCCACGGCUCAACCGUGGAACUGCCUUUGAUACUGCUUAGCUUGAAUCCGGGAGAGGGUGGCGGAAUUCCAGGUGUAGGAGUGAAAUCCGUAGAUAUCUGGAGGAACAUCGGUGGCGAAGGUGGCCACCUGGACCGGUAUUGACGCUGAGGUGCGAAAGCGUGGGGAGCAAACAGG